GGUUCCGUGGUGUAGUGGUCAUCACGUCUGCUUUACACGCAGAAGGUCCCCAGUUCGACCCUGGGCGGAAUCA